AUUCUCCUACGGGAGGCAGCAGUCGAGAAUCAUUCACAAUGGGGGAAACCCUGAUGGUGCGACGCCGCGUGGGGGAAUGAAGGUCUUCGGAUUGUAAACCCCUGUCAUGUGGGAGCAAAUUAAAAAGAUAGUACCACAAGAGGGAGAGACGGCUAACUCUGUGCCAGCAGCCGCGGUAAUACAGAGGUCUCAAGCGUUGUUCGGAGUCACUGGGCGUAAAGCGUGCGCAGGCUGUUUCGUAAGUCGUGUGUGAAAGGCGCGGGCUCAACCCGCGGACGGCACAUGAUACUGCGAGACUAGCGUAA
rnacentral:rRNA from 1 species